rnacentral:rRNA from 1 species
UAGGGAAUCUUCCACAAUGGACGCAAGUCUGAUGGAGCAACGCCGCGUGAGUGAAGAAGGUUUUCGGACCGUAAAGCUCUGUUGUUGGUGAAGAAGGAUAGAGGUAGUAACUGGCCCUUUAUUUGACGGUAAUCAACCAGAAAGUCACGGCUAACUACGUGCCAGCAGCCGCGGUAAUACGUAGGUGGCAAGCGUUGUCCGGAUUUAUUGGGCGUAAAGCGAGCGCAGGCGGAAGAAUAAGUCUGAUGUGAAAGCCCUCGGCUUAACCGAGGAAUUGCAUCGGAAACUGUUUUUCUUGAGUGCAGAAGAGGAGAGUAGAACUCCAUGUGUAGCGGUGGAAUGCGUAGAUAUAUGGAAGAAUACCAGUGGCGAAGGCGGCUCUCUGGUCUGCAACUGACGCUGAGGCUCGAAAGCAUGGGUAGCGAACAGGAUUUAGAUACCCUUG